rnacentral:rRNA from 1 species
UGCAAGUCGAGCGGACAGAAGGGAGCUUGCUCCCGGAUGUUAGCGGCGGACGGGUGAGUAACACGUGGGUAACCUGCCUGUAAGACUGGGAUAACUCCGGGAAACCGGAGCUAAUACCGGAUAGUUCCUUGAACCGCAUGGUUCAAGGAUGAAAGACGGUUUCGGCUGUCACUUACAGAUGGACCCGCGGCGCAUUAGCUAGUUGGUGAGGUAACGGCUCACCAAGGCGACGAUGCGUAGCCGACCUGAGAGGGUGAUCGGCCACACUGGGACUGAGACACGGCCCAGACUCCUACGGGAGGCAGCAGUAGGGAAUCUUCCGCAAUGGACGAAAGUCUGACGGAGCAACGCCGCGUGAGUGAUGAAGGUUUUCGGAUCGUAAAGCUCUGUUGUUAGGGAAGAACAAGUGCAAGAGUAACUGCUUGCACCUUGACGGUACCUAACCAGAAAGCCACGGCUAACUACGUGCCAGCAGCCGCGGUAAUACGUAGGUGGCAAGCGUUGUCCGGAAUUAUUGGGCGUAAAGGGCUCGCAGGCGGUUUCUUAAGUCUGAUGUGAAAGCCCCCGGCUCAACCGGGGAGGGUCAUUGGAAACUGGGAAACUUGAGUGCAGAAGAGGAGAGUGGAAUUCCACGUGUAGCGGUGAAAUGCGUAGAGAUGUGGAGGAACACCAGUGGCGAAGGCGACUCUCUGGUCUGUAACUGACGCUGAGGAGCGAAAGCGUGGGGAGCGAACAGGAUUAGAUACCCUGGUAGUCCACGCCGUAAACGAUGAGUGCUAAGUGUUAGGGGGUUUUCCGCCCCUUAGUGCUGCAG